rnacentral:rRNA from 1 species
UACGAAGGGGGCUAGCGUCGUUCGGAAUUACUGGGCGUAAAGCGCACGUAGGCGGGCGAUUAAGUCAGGGGUGAAAUCCCGGAGCUCAACUCCGGAACUGCCUUUGAUACUGGUCGUCUAGAGAUCGGAAGAGGUGAGUGGAAUUCCCAGUGUAGAGGUGAAAUUCGUAGAUAUUGGGAAGAACACCAGUGGCGAAGGCGGCUCACUAGUCCAUUACUGACGCUGAGGUGCGAAAGCGUGGGGAGCAAACAGG